rnacentral:rRNA from 1 species
CCUACGGGGGGCUGCAGUAGGGAAUCUUCCGCAAUGGACGAAAGUCUGACGGAGCAACGCCGAGUGAGCGAAGAAGGUCUUCGGAUCGUAAAGCUCUGUUGUUAGGGAAGAACAAGUACGGGAGGAAAUGACCGUACCUUGACGGUACCUAACGAGGAAGCCACGGCUAACAACGUGCCAGCAGCCGCGGUAAUACGUUGGGUGCAAGCGUUGUACGCAAUGAUUGGGCGUAAAGCUCGCGCAGGCGGUCUUUUAAGUUGGAUGUUAAAUCUAGCGGGCCCACCGCAAACGGUCAGUAGAAACUGGGAGACGUAAGUGCUCAAGAGGAAUGCGGUACUCCACGAUUAGCGGUGAAAUGCGUACAUAUGUAGCGUAACACCAGUGUCGAAGUCUUCUUUCUGGUCUGUAACUUGCACUGAUGAGCGAAAGCCUGUGGAGCAAACCUGCUUAGAUACCACUGUAUUG